rfam:Schistosoma margrebowiei strain Zambia genome assembly, scaffold: SMRZ_contig0001069
GCACUACUGAAGAGUACCAUACUAGGACGAAACGGCCGUCCAGUGC